UACGAAGGGAGCAAGCGUUGUUCGGAAUUACUGGGCGUAAAGGGCGCGUAGGCGGAUGAUCUAGUCAGAGGUGAAAGCCCUGGGCUCAACCCGGGAAUUGCCUUUGAAACUGGUCGUCUUGAGUGCGAGAGAGGGUGGCGGAAUACCCAGUGUAGAGGUGAAAUUCGUAGAUAUUGGGUAGAACACCAGUGGCGAAGGCGGCCACCUGGCUCGCAACUGACGCUGAGGCGCGAAAGCGUGGGGAGCAAAC
rnacentral:rRNA from 1 species